GACGAACGCUGGCGGCGUGCUUAACACAUGCAAGUCGAACGAAGAGCGAUGGAAGCUUGCUUCUAUCAAUCUUAGUGGCGAACGGGUGAGUAACGCGUAAUCAACCUGCCCUUCAGAGGGGGACAACAGUUGGAAACGACUGCUAAUACCGCAUACGAUCUAACCUCGGCAUCGAGGAUAGAUGAAAGGUGGCCUCUACAUGUAAGCUAUCACUGAAGGAGGGGAUUGCGUCUGAUUAGCUAGUUGGAGGGGUAACGGCCCACCAAGGCGAUGAUCAGUAGCCGGUCUGAGAGGAUGAACGGCCACAUUGGGACUGAGACACGGCCCAGACUCCUACGGGAGGCAGCAGUGGGGAAUCUUCCGCAAUGGACGAAAGUCUGACGGAGCAACGCCGCGUGAGUGAUGACGGCCUUCGGGUUGGAAAGCUCGGUUAAUCGGGACGAAAGGCCUUCUUGCGAAUAGUUAGAAGGAUUGACGGUACCGGAAGAGAAAGCCACGGCUAACUACGUG
rnacentral:rRNA from 1 species